rnacentral:rRNA from 1 species
CCUACGGGGGGCUGCAGUCGAGGAUCUUCCGCAAUGGGCGAAAGCCUGACGGAGCGACACCGCGUGCAGGAUGAAGGCCUUCGGGUUGUAAACUGCUGUCACGCUAUAGGAACCCCGCAAGGGUUGACUAAAGCGAGAGGAAGCAACGGCUAACUCUGUGCCAGCAGCCGCGGUAAGACAGAGGUUGCAAACGUUGUUCGGAAUCACUGGGCAUAAAGCGCACGUAGGCGGCUGACUAAGUCAGAUGUGAAAUCCCUCGGCUCAACCGGGGAACUGCGUCUGAUACUGGUCGGCUUGAGAACGGUAGGGGUGAGCGGAACUCCAGGUGGAGCGGUGAAAUGCGUAGAUAUCUGGAGGAACACCGGUGGCGAAAGCGGCUCACUGGACCGUCACUGACGCUGAGGUGCGAAAGCUAGGGUAGCAAACGGGAUUAGAUACCCCAGUAGUC